UUCAGAAUAUUUGGACAGAGAGAAUAAUGAAACACACUGAAGUUUCUUAAUUUCCACCCGGAAACCGCACUGCCAAAUUCUGCAGAGUCUUCUAUGUAUAACAUCAUCUGCAUGUCUUCUGCAAACAGAGACAAUUUAACUUCUAAAACCUGCCAACAAAGAAAAGCCAAGAACAGAUGGCUUCACGGGUGAAAUCUACCAAGCAUUUAAAGAAUUAGUAGCAAUUCGCAAACUCUUUCAGGAAAUUGAAGAGGAGGGAGAACACUUCCAAACUCAUUUUAGGAGGCCUGGAUUACUCUCAAACCAAAGCCAGAUAAGGACACUACAAGACAAGAAAAUCACAGGCCAAUAUUCCUGAUGAACAUAGAUGCAAAAUUUCUCAACAAAAUACCAGCAAACCCAAUUCAGAAGCACAUCAAAACAAUCACAUACCAUGACCAACAGACACUUUUUUUUUCCCUGCGAUGCAAGGAUAUUUCACAUAUGUUAAAUCAAUA
rnacentral:lncRNA from 1 species